ACAGUCGGCUAUCAAGCACUGCACGAUGAUAUCCAAAAUGAUUAUUGCCACUUUAGCCUUGGUCCUUUUCGGGGUAGUAGCAGCGGGUCCUGUUGCUGAACCCGAACCCGAAGCUAAUCCUGGAUUCCACCGAGGAUUUGGUGGAGGAUUUGGAGGAUUUGGUGGAGGAUUUGGAGGCCACGGAUUCGGAUACGGAGGCUACCGAGGAAAGAGGAGCCCAGUAGCUGAACCCGAAGCUGAGCCUGGAUUUAUUCACAGAGGAUUUGGUGGAGGAUUU